ACCUGGCUGGCUCAGUCGGUGAAGCAUGUGCCUCUUGAUCUCAGGGUGGUGGGUUCGAGCCCCAUGUUGGGUG
rnacentral:tRNA from 1 species